GUGCACGCUGGCGGUAGGCCUAACACAUGCAAGUCGAACGGCAGCACAGUAAGAGCUUGCUCUUACGGGUGGCGAGUGGCGGACGGGUGAGGAAUACAUCGGAAUCUACUUUUUCGUGGGGGAUAACGUAGGGAAACUUACGCUAAUACCGCAUACGACCUACGGGUGAAAGCAGGGGAUCUUCGGACCUUGCGCGAUUGAAUGAGCCGAUGUCGGAUUAGCUAGUUGGCGGGGUAAAGGCCCACCAAGGCGACGAUCCGUAGCUGGUCUGAGAGGAUGAUCAGCCACACUGGAACUGAGACACGGUCCAGACUCCUACGGGAGGCAGCAGUGGGGAAUAUUGGACAAUGGGCGCAAGCCUGAUCCAGCCAUACCGCGUGGGUGAAGAAGGCCUUCGGGUUGUAAAGCCCUUUUGUUGGGAAAGAAAAGCAGCAGGUUAAUACCCCGCUGUUCUGACGGUACCCAAAGAAUAAGCACCGGCUAGCUUCGUG
rnacentral:rRNA from 1 species